GAGUUUGAUCCUGGCUCAGGACGAACGCUGGCGGCACGCUUAACACAUGCAAGUCGAACGAGGUCCAAGGAGCUUGCUCCGGAAGACCGAGUGGCGAACGGGUGCGUAACACGUGAGAAACCUGCCCCGAACUUGGGAAUAACAGUCGGAAACGACUGCUAAUACCGAAUAUCUUCACGACGUCGCAUGGCGAUGUGAAGAAAGCUUUAUGCGGUUUGGGAGGGUCUCGCGGCCUAUCAGCUUGUUGGUGAGGUAACGGCUCACCAAGGCAUCGACGGGUAGCUGGUCUGAGAGGAUGAUCAGCCACACUGGGACUGAGACACGGCCCAGACUCCUACGGGAGGCAGCAGUGGGGAAUAUUGCACAAUGGGCGCAAGCCUGAUGCAGCGAUGCCGCGUGCGGGAUGAAGGCCCUAGGGUUGUAAACCGCUUUCAGUAGGGAAGAAAAUGACGGUACCUACAGAAGAAGGUGCGGCCAACUACGUGCCAGCAGCCGCGGUGACACGUAGGCACCAAGCGUUGUCCGGAUUUAUUGGGCGUAAAGAGCUCGUAGGCGGUUCAGUUAGUCGGGUGUGAAAACUCUGGGCUCAACCCAGAGACGCCACCCGAUACUGCUGUGACUAGAGUACGGUAGGGGAGUGGGG
rnacentral:rRNA from 1 species